rnacentral:rRNA from 1 species
GCAUGGGGAGUGGCGGACGGGUGAGUAACGCGUGGGAACCUGCCCAAUGGUCUGGAAUAACCGCGGGAAACUGCGGCUAAUACCGGAUAAGCCCGAUAGGGGAAAGAUUUAUCGCCGAUGGAGGGGCCCGCGUCCGAUUAGGUAGUUGGUGGGGUAAUGGCCUACCAAGCCUACGAUCGGUAGAUGGUCUGAGAGGAUGAUCAGCCACACUGGGACUGAGAUACGGCCCAGACUCCUACGGGAGGCAGCAGUGGGGAAUAUUGGACAAUGGGGGCAACCCUGAUCCAGCAAUGCCGCGUGAGUGAUGAAGGCCUCAGGGUUGUAAAGCUCUUUUGCCAGGGAUGAUGAUGACAGUACCUGGAGAAUAAGCCCCGGCUAACUUCGUGCCAGCAGCCGCGGUAAUACGAAGGGGGCAAGCGUUGUUCGGAAUUACUGGGCGUAAAGGGCGGGUUGGCGGCCGAUCAAGUCAGAUGUGAAAGUCCUGGGCUUAACCUGGGGACUGCAUUUGAUACUGAUUGGCAGGAAUGCAGGAGAGGAUAGAGGAAUUCCCAGUGUAGAGGUGAAAUUAGUAGAUAUUGGGAAGAACACCGGUGGCGAAGGCGCAUAUAUGGACUUUGAUUGACGCUGAGGCGCGAAAGCGUGGGGAGCAAACAGGAUAAGAUACCCUGGUAGUCCACGCAGUAAACGAUGAAUGAUAGACGCUGGGGAGCACGCUAUUCGGUGUCGCAGCUAACGCAUUAAGCAUUCCGCCUGGGGAGU